rnacentral:lncRNA from 1 species
AUGAACCUAGAGCCUCUCAUACAGAAUGAAGUAAGUCAGAAAGAGAAAAAUAAAUAUCAUAUAUUAAUGCAGUGGCCACAGGACUGGAAAAGAUCAGUUUCCAUUCCAAUUCCAAAGAAAGGCAAUGCAAAAGAAUGCUCAAUCUACCACAUAAUUGCACUCAUCUCACAUGCUAGUAAAGUAAUGCUCAAAAUUCUCCAAGCCAGGCUUCAGCAAUACGUGAAUCAUGAACUCCAUGAUGUUCAAGCUGGUUUUAGAAAAGGCAGAGGAACCAGAGAUCAAAUUGCCAACAUCCGCUGGGUCAUGGAAAAAGCAAGAGAGUUCCAGAAAAACAUCUAUUUCUGCUUUAUUGACUAUGCCAAAGCCUUUGACUGUGUGGAUCACAAUAAACUGUGGAAAAUUCUGAAAGAGAUGGGAAUACCAGACCACCUGACCUGCCUCUUGAGAAAUCUGUAUGCAGGCCAGGAAGCAACAGUUAGAACUGGACAUGGAACAACAGACUGGUUCCAAAUAGGAAAAGGAGUACGUCAAGGCUAUAUAUUAUCAUUCUAUGCAGAGUACAUCAUGAGAAACGCUGGACUGGAAGAAACACAAGCUGGAAUCAAGAUUGCCGGGAGAAAUAUCAAUAACUUCAGAUACGCAGAUGACACCACCUUUAUGGCAGAAAGUGUAGAGGAGCUAAAAAGCCUCUUGAUGAAAGUGAAAGAGGAGAGUGAAAAGGUUGGCUUAAAGCUCAACAUUCAGAAAACGAAGAUCAUGGCAUCUGGUCCCAUCACUUCAUGGGAAAUAGACAGAGAAACAGUGGAAACAGUGUCAGACUUUAUUUUGGGGGCCUCCAAAAUCACGGCAGAUGGUGACUGCAGCCAUGAAAUUCAAAGACGCUUGCUCCUUGGAAGAAAAGUUAUGACCAACCUAGAUAGUAUAUUGAAAAGCAGAGACAUUACUUUGCUGACUAAGGUCCGUCUAGUCAAGGCUAUGGUUUUUCCAGUGGUCAUGUAUGGAUGUGAGAGUUGGACUGUGAAGAAGGCUGAGCACCAAAGAAUUGAUGCUUUUGAACUGUGGUGUUGGAGAAGACUCUUGAGAGUCCCUUGGACUGCAAGGAGAUCCAACCAGUCCAUUCUGAAGGAGAUCGGCCCUGGGAUUUCUUUGGAAGGAAUGAUGCUAAAGCUGAAGCUCCAGUACUUUGGCCACCUCAUGGGAAGAGUUGACUCACUGGAAAAGACUCUGAUGCUGGGAGGAAUUGGGGGCAGGAAGAGAACGGGACGACCAAGGAUGAGAUGGCUGGAUGGCAUCACGGACUCAAUAGACGUGAGUCUGAGUAAACUCCAGGAGAUGGUGAUGGACAGGGAGGCCUGGCGUGCUGCAAUUCAUGGGGUCGCAAACAGUCAGACACGACUGAGCAAGUGA